rnacentral:tRNA from 1 species
AAUAUGAUGAUCAAGUAAAAGCUGCUAACUUUUUUCUUUUGCGGUUAAAUUCCGUUUAUAUUU